AUUGAACGCUGGCGGCAUGCCUAACACAUGCAAGUCGAACGGCAGCACGGCAGUAGCAAUACUGUGGGUGGCGAGUGGCGGACGGGUGAGGAAUACGUCGGAAUCUGCCCAGUCGUGGGGGAUAACUAGCCGAAAGGUUAGCUAAUACCGCAUACGACCGAGAGGUGAAAGCGGGGGACCGCAAGGCCUCGCGCGAUUGGAUGAGCCGACGUCGGAGUUAGCUAGUUGGUGGGGUAAAGGCCUACCAAGGCGACGAUCCGUAGCUGGUCUGAGGGGAGGAUCAGCCAAACUGGACCUGGAACACGGUCCAGACUCCUACGGGAGGCAGCAGUGGGGAAUAUUGGACAAUGGGCGCAAGCCUGCUCCAGCAAUGCCGCGUGUGUGAAGAAGGCCUUCGGGUUGUAAAGCACUUUUAUCAGGAACGAAAAGCGAUGGAUUAAUACUCUGUCGUGCUGACGGUACCUAAGGAAUAAGCACCGACUAACUUCGUGCCAGCCGCCGCAGUAAGAC
rnacentral:rRNA from 1 species